UCCGAUUUAACACCGGCAGUCUCUCUAGAGUGCCCAACUAAAUGCUGGCAACUAAAGACAAGGGUUGCGCUCGUUGCGGGACUUAACCCAACAUCUCACGACACGAGCUGACGACAGCCAUGCAGCACCUGUGAAUCGGCCCUUGCGGGCGACAGCAUCUCUGCUAGUCUUCCAAUCCAUGUCAAGCCCAGGUAAGGUUUUGCGCGUUGCAUCGAAUUAAACCACAUACUCCACCGCUUGUGCGGGCCCCCGUCAAUUUCUUUGAGUUUUAAUCUUGCGACCGUACUCCCCAGGCGGGAUACUUAACGCGUUAGCUUCGUCACUAAAGGGGUCAAUACCUCUAACAACAAGUAUCCAUCGUUUACGGCGUGGACUAC
rnacentral:misc_RNA from 1 species